rnacentral:rRNA from 1 species
AGAGUUUGAUCCUGGCUCAGGAUGAACGCUGGCGGCGUGCCUAAUACAUGCAAGUCGAGCGAACGUCAUAGAAGCUUGCUUCUAUGACGUUAGCGGCGGACGGGUGAGUAACACGUGGGCAACCUGCCUGUAAGACUGGGAUAACUUCGGGAAACCGAAGCUAAUACCGGAUAGGAUCUUCUCCUUCAUGGGAGAUGAUUGAAAGAUGGUUUCGGCUAUCACAUACAGAUGGGCCCGCGGUGCAUUAGCUAGUUGGUGAGGUAACGGCUCACCAAGGCAACGAUGCAUAGCCGACCUGAGAGGGUGAUCGGCCACACUGGGACUGAGACACGGCCCAGACUCCUACGGGAGGCAGCAGUAGGGAAUCUUCCGCAAUGGACGAAAGUCUGACGGAGUAACGCCGCGUGAGUGAUGAAGGCUUUCGGGUCGUAAAACUCUGUUGUUAGGGAAGAACAAGUACGAGAGUAACUGCUCGUACCUUGACGGUACCUAACCAGAAAGCCACGGCUAACUACGUGCCAGCAGCCGCGGUAAUACGUAGGUGGCAAGCGUUAUCCGGAAUUAUUGGGCGUAAAGCGCGCGCAGGCGGUUUCUUAAGUCUGAUGUGAAAGCCCACGGCUCAACCCGUGGAGGGUCAUUGGA